rnacentral:rRNA from 1 species
AGAGUUUGAUCAUGGCUCAGGACGAACGCUGGCGGCGUGCCUAAUACAUGCAAGUCGAGCGCGGGAAGCUGACGGAUCUCUUCGGAGUGACGUCAGUGGAACGAGCGGCGGACGGGUGAGUAACACGUGGGCAACCUGCCUGUAAGCCUGGGAUAACUCCGGGAAACCGGGGCUAAUACCAGAUAUGUUCUUUGCACCGCAUGGUGCGAGGAACAAAGAUGGCCUAGUCAUCACUUACAGAUGGACCCGCGGCGCAUUAGUUAGUUGGUAAGGUAAUGGCUUACCAAGGCCACGAUGCGUAGCCGACCUGAGAGGGUGAUCGGCCACACUGGGACUGAGACACGGCCCAGACUCCUACGGGAGGCAGCAGUAGGGAAUCUUCCGCAAUGGACGAAAGUCUGACGGAGCAACGCCGCGUGAGUGAGGAAGGUUUUCGGAUCGUAAAGCUCUGUUGUUAGCGAAGAACAAGUGCCAUAGGGAAUGAUGGUGCCUUGACGGUAGCUAACCAGAAAGCCCCGGCUAACUACGUGCCAGCAGCCGCGGUAAUACGUAGGGGGCAAGCGUUGUCCGGAAUUAUUGGGCGUAAAGGGCGCGCAAGCGGCCUCUUAAGUCUGAUGUGAAAGCCCGCAGCUCAACUGCGGAGGUGCAUUGGAAACUGAGGGGCUUGAGUACAGGAGAGGAGAGUGGAAUUCCACGUGUAGCGGUGAAAUGCGUAGAGAUGUGGAGGAACACCAGUGGCGAAAGCGGCUCUCUGGCCUGUAACUGACGCUGAGGCGCGAAAGCGUGGGGAGCGAACAGGAUUAGAUACCCUGGUAGUCCACGCCGUAAACGUUGAGUGCUAGGUGUUAGGGGGGUCCAACCCCUUAGUGCUGAAGUCAACACAUUAAGCACUCCGCCUGGGGAGUACGACCGCAAGGUUGAAACUCAAAUGAAUUGACGG